rnacentral:rRNA from 1 species
AACGAACGCUGGCGGCAUGCCUAACACAUGCAAGUCGAACGAGACCUUCGGGUCUAGUGGCGCACGUGUGCGUACCGCGGGGGAACCUGCACUUAGGUUCGGAAUAACUCCCCGAGAGGGAUGCUAAUACCAGUUAAGCUCUUACGACCAAAGAUUUUUCGCCUUUGGAUGGGCCCGCGUUGGUUUAGCUAGUUGGUAGGGUAAAAGCCUGCCAAGGCGACGUUCCAUAGCUGGUCUGAGAGGAUGAUCAUCCACACUGGGCCUGAGACACGGCCCAGACUCCUACGGGAGGCAGCAGUGGGGAAUAUUGGACGAUGGGGGAAAGCCUGAUCCAGCAAUGUCGCGUGAGUGAUGAAGGGGUUAGGGUUGUAAAGCUGUUUUACCCGGGAUGAUAAUGACAGUACCGGGAGAAUAAGCACCGGCUAACUACGUG